GGAUAGCCAAAGGAGACUGCC
rnacentral:miRNA from 1 species